GAUGAACGCUGGCGGCGUGCCUAAUACAUGCAAGUCGAGCGAACAGACGAGGAGCUUGCUCCUCUGACGUUAGCGGCGGACGGGUGAGUAACACAUGGAUAACCUACCUAUAAGACUGGGAUAACUUCGGGAAACCGGAGCUAAUACCGGAUAAUAUAUUGAACCGCAUGGUUCAAUAGUGAAAGACGGUUUUGCUGUCACUUAUAGAUGGAUCCGCGCCGCAUUAGCUAGUUGGUAAGGUAACGGCUUACCAAGGCAACGAUGCGUAGCCGACCUGAGAGGGUGAUCGGCCACACUGGAACUGAGACACGGUCCAGACUCCUACGGGAGGCAGCAGUAGGGAAUCUUCCGCAAAGGGCGAAAGCCUGACGGAGCAACGCCGCGUGAGUGAUGAAGGUCUUCGGAUCGUAAAACUCUGUUAUUAGGGAAGAACAAAUGUGUAAGUAACUAUGCACGUCUUGACGGUACCUAAUCAGAAAGCCACGGCUAACUACGUG
rnacentral:rRNA from 1 species